CCUACGGGGGGCUGCAGUGGGGAAUAUUGGACAAUGGGGGCAACCCUGAUCCAGCCAUGCCGCGUGUGUGAAGAAGGCCCUCGGGUUGUAAAGCACUUUCAGUGAGGAAGAACGCCUGGUGGUUAAUACCCAUCAGGAAAGACAUCACUCACAGAAGAAGCACCGGCUAACUCCGUGCCAGCAGCCGCGGUAAUACGGAGGGUGCGAGCGUUAAUCGGAAUUACUGGGCGUAAAGCGCGCGUAGGUGGCUUGAUAAGCCGGUUGUGAAAGCCCCGGGCUCAACCUGGGAACGGCAUCCGGAACUGGCAAGCUAGAGUGCAGGAGAGGAAGGUAGAAUUCCCGGUGUAGCGGUGAAAUGCGUAGAGGUCGGGAGGAAUACCAGUGGCGAAGGCGGCCUUCUGGACUGAAACUGACACUGAGGUGCGAAAGCGUGGGUAGCAAACAGGAUUAGAUACCCGAGUAGUC
rnacentral:rRNA from 1 species